rnacentral:piRNA from 1 species
AGACCAAAACACCCACACAUGGUGGAUAAAUC